UACGAAGGGGGCUAGCGUUGUUCGGAAUUACUGGGCGUAAAGCGCACGUAGGCGGACAUUUAAGUCAGGGGUGAAAUCCCCAGAGCUCAACUCUGGAACUGCCUUUGAUACUGGGUGUCUUGAGUAUGGAAGAGGUGAGUGGAAUUCCGAGUGUAGAGGUGAAAUUCGUAGAUAUUCGGAGGAACACCAGUGGCGAAGGCGGCUCACUGGUCCGGUACUGACGCUGAGGUGCGAAAGCGUGGGGGAGCAAAACAGG
rnacentral:rRNA from 1 species